GCCGGCGGGCCCUGGCGGCCCCUCGCGUGCGGGAGGGGGCGGGGCGAGGCGCGGCCCGGCCGACGACGGAAGUUCUUUCUGCCGGGCGGCGCCGGGACUAAACUGCCCAUAUGGCCCUGUGCGCUGUGCGAGACAAAAAUACACUUCCGGCGCAGUGCGCAGGCGCGAGAGUUCCGCCUGCUAUAUAAGGCAAGU
rfam:Sorex araneus cont1.363454, whole genome shotgun sequence.